CGGGAGCGCGCGUUUAUUUCUGAGCCGCAGUCGCAGAGAGACAGAGAGCGUGUACGGGAGCGCGCCUGGGAUUUUCUCUCCUUUCUCCUAGAGGAUCGCGUUCAGGAAUUAUCCAGAGGACUUUCAUGUGAACAUACACACACAGACACACACACACACACACACACACACACACACAGAGUGUGAGUGUGUGUGUUUAUUCUGCUAUAUAAGGGAUGAGCUGAUACACAUGUGAUGGAUCACACAUUUCGGGAAUGAUGGAAAACCUGUUAGGAAUAUAAACACACUUUACAGCUUGGAGUGUGAGAGCAGGACAUCAUCCUCACAGCACACAUGCAGCUUUAUUGAUCAACCUCACAAAAUGUAGAACUAACACCUCGUCUGACACAGCUGAUGAGAGUCUUCACUGAAUCCAGCUCUGUAUGUCUUCACUUGUAAACUGUAUCCUGCUGUAUUGCACUUAAAAACUUAAGAAAUCAGUUAAACAGUACACAAUUGACAAGGUAGAUGAAAAAAAAAUAAAACAAAUCAACUAUAUAUAUAUAUAUAUAUGUGUGUGUGUGAAGCAACGUGAAAGUAAAGUAAUCCCAUCUAAAUAGGGCUGUACCGUGUUCCUAAUGCGUAACACACAGUGUCCUGUGGAACCCGUUUAGGAGGCUAAGAACCUUAAAUCUCACCCCUGAAGAACCCGUUGUUUCCCCUAAAAGAAGCUAAAUGUUAAAUUCAGGUUCUAGGUAAUAUUAAGAAGAAAAUAACGUGAAACCAUUUGGAGUUUGUAACACACACGUACCCGGUUAAUACACACUGUCUUACAACAAAGGCUUCCUCAGGGGCUCUUCAAGGGUUUCUUGUAUAGGAAUUAGUGUCUUAGUUUCGGGAAAAGGUUCUACUUGUUACGCUCGGUUGUAGCGUUAUACGUAAAAAAGCUUUAAGGGUUCCACAACCUAAAAAAAAAAAAAAACUUUCAGUGUUGAUGUUUUUUAUUAGUUUUUUAAAGAGUGUAGAUCUGAAGCAGGUCUGAAUCGGCUGUAGAACGUGAUGGAUAUGACUGAUAGACGAGUUAAAGAAAUGUGCAUUUGAAUCAGUUUGUCCUAGAAUGAAUUACUGUUCGAAUAAGAAUGGGUUCUUCCAGGUUUCGCAGGGUUCUUAGCUUUGUUUCUUAUAGGAAGCAUUUCUGAUUGGAGAACACUGUUAGAACUCUAGCUGGACAACUGCAGAACCGUUCAG
ensembl:lncRNA